AUUGAACGCUGGCGGCAUGCCUUACACAUGCAAGUCGAACGGCAGCACGGGAGCAAUCCUGGUGGCGAGUGGCGAACGGGUGAGUAAUAUAUCGGAACGUGCCCAGUCGUGGGGGAUAACGCAGCGAAAGCUGUGCUAAUACCGCAUACGAUCCAUGGAUGAAAGCGGGGGAUCGCAAGACCUCGCGCGAUUGGAGCGGCCGAUAUCAGAUUAGGUAGUUGGUGGGGUAAAAGCCCACCAAGCCGACGAUCUGUAGCUGGUCUGAGAGGACGACCAGCCACACUGGAACUGAGACACGGUCCAGACUCCUACGGGAGGCAGCAGUGGGGAAUUUUGGACAAUGGGCGCAAGCCUGAUCCAGCAAUGCCGCGUGCAGGAUGAAGGCCUUCGGGUUGUAAACUGCUUUUGUACGGAACGAAACGGUCUACCCUAAUACGGUGGGCUAAUGACGGUACCGUAAGAAUAAGCACCGGCUAACUACGUGCCAGCAGCCGCGGUAAUACGUAGGGUGCGAGCGUUAAUCGGAAUUACUGGGCGUAAAGCGUGCGCAGGCGGUUAUAUAAGACAGAUGUGAAAUCCCCGGGCUCAACCUGGGACCUGCAUUUGUGACUGUAUAGCUAGAGUACGGUAGAGGGGGAUGGAAUUCCGCGUGUAGCAGUGAAAUGCGUAGAUAUGCGGAGGAACACCGAUGGCGAAGGCAAUCCCCUGGACCUGUACUGACGCUCAUGCACGAAAGCGUGGGGAGCAAACAGGAUUAGAUACCCUGGUAGUCCACGCCCUAAACGAUGUCAACUGGUUGUUGGGUCUUCACUGACUCAGUAACGAAGCU
rnacentral:rRNA from 1 species